rnacentral:lncRNA from 1 species
CAGAAAAGGGAACUGAGUCAGACAAAAGAGCAGGACUCUUCAAUGUGGAAAAGCAAAGACUGAAGGAAUCACGGGAUCAGGAGGUAGGAAACAGCGAAUGGCCUAGAGGAGUUUGGCGAUGGGCACUGCAAGUGGAUUGUGGUAUGACUGUGUUAGGACCAGGGUGAGGAGCACUGCAUAAAAGGGGCGUUUAAGAGGUGGUGUAAACAGGUAUUGCAAGGGGAUUUUUUAGGGAUGAGAACUAACUUGUGAAGACAAAGCCAUAAGUGGCUCCUGUAGAAGCUGGACUGCACCUCGCCUUUAACACUUGACAUCAGGGAGGGGGCAUGUGGUCCAGGCACAUCCUGGGUGGGGGCACCAUUGGUUACUGGACCCUGGCCCAGGUGGAUAGGGUCUGACCCAGUGGAGUGUCCUCCGUUCCUGAGAAAUACAGGAUUUGGUCAAAGAUGUUCAGUUUCAAAAUUGACACACUACUUAGGCAAAAAAAAGUGUAGUUAUACUUUUUUAAUAUUUGCAAGGUCUUUUAUUAAAGAGCAGAAAGAACGGCUCCUUAUGACAAGAUAAUCAGUGAUUACAAUCUUUUAGAAACCUGAUUUUUCUCUCUCCACAUCUCUGCCAAAAUAUCUAACAAAUUGUGUUGACAUCCCACUGUUAGGAGAGGGCCAGACCUUCCUAAUCAGGUGUCCUGGUGAGAGGAGGACUUCUUUAUACGGAUUCGGCUCCCUGAGCGAGAUGGCCAAGACAAAACUGCCCACGUAAUUUUUGUAUUUUCAUGGAAAUACGAAGGGGAUAUAAUUUCAGCAAAACCCUGCCAGCUUCACUUGGUGACUACAACCAAAGAUUAUGUGUCAAGUGCACGAGGGUCCCUCUCUGACAGGUCUGAUUAGUGGUGACCCCCCCAUCAGAGUAGAGACAGAGCUCACGGUUUAAAAGUUUCAUCGGGGCCAGGCGUGAUGGCUCACACCCGUAAUCCCAACACUUCAAGAGGCAGAGGCAGAAGCAUCACUCAAGCCUAAGAGUUCAAGGCCAGCCUGGGUAACAUGGCAAGACCCAUCUCUACAAAAAAUUUAAAAAUAAAAAAUUUAAAGCUA